UCCCACCUCAACUGUGGGAUGUCGCAGCCCAGACAGUCGCGGCCUCGCGGGGAACCAUCCCGUUCCUCCCGCCGCAUACGCGCGUCACGGCGAUGCCGGUGCACCGGCCGCGGCGGCUAUCUGGACGGUCUGCUCAACGGCUGGCCUUGCACGUGCCGUCACUAUGCCGCGCCGCUGGAGGAUCUCUGCUGCUCCCUGCGUCUCGGUCUCUCGGGCGCCCCUGGCACGCCAUCGGUCCUCACCGGCCACCAUAGGGGGGCCUGUAGGGUACCUCAUCCAUCGCUUUCUUCGACGCCCUCCUUCUUUGCAUUGAUAAAGCCGUGCAAGAGUUAAUCGUUACGGAUAAGUAACCCCUGUCAAGGUUUUCAAUGGAGUUAAAUACCAACAACAGCAAUCCAAAACACCUAGACGGGUCAAGGAAUGAUGGUGGGGCGCAUGUGGUGGCUAGGAAGCGGCGGCGGGAGGCCCAGAGCAGUGAUGGAGACUGGACAAAGGCAAUGGUGGAGCGCGGCAUGCGUGGAGACAGGGUUUGGGAAGUUGGGAUCAGUGUCGCGUAUGUGACAUAGUAUUGCUGAGGUCCGACAACCAUAUAAGAGACAAGUGGCAUUGAAUUCAGUUUUAAUAAAAAAAAAUAAGGGCCUAAGUAUUGUCUCUAACUUCAUGUUUUAUUAACCUCGUUUGGGGAAUAAAAUGGAUAUUGGAUGUGA